rnacentral:rRNA from 1 species
ACCCUACUAUGCCUAGCUGUAACAUAACAAUCAAACCAACCAAUUGUUCGCCAAAUAACUACGAGUAUAAACUUAAAAUUUAAAAGACUUGACGGUACUUCACAACAACCUAGAGGAGCCUGUCUAAUAACCGAUACCCCACGAUUAACCCAACCCACCCUAGCCUACAGUCUAUAUACCGCCGUCGCCAGCUUACCUUGUGAAAGAAAUAUAGUGAGCAAAAUAGACUUCCCCCUAACACGACAGGUCGAGGUGUAACUCAUGGGUGGGUAAAAGAUGGGCUACAUUUUCUACUACAGAAAAUACGAACAAACUAUGAAAUUAGAAACCGAAGGCGGAUUUAGCAGUACGUUAAGAAUAGAAUACCUAACUGAAACAAACGCAAUGAAGCGCGUACACACCGCCCGUCAUCCCUG